GGAAAGGCAGCAAGUGAAUUCAUUCAGAAGGAAUUGAAUAUGGAGUAUGUGUACGACUACAUGUUUCAUCUCUUAAACCAGUAUGCUAAUCUGUUGACGUUCAAGCCCGUUAUACCUCGAAAAGCUAUUGAACUGUGUUCAGAAUCCAUGGCUUGCCGAUUGAGUGGACUGGAGAAGGAGUUCACUAUGGAAUCCAUGGUGAAGAGUCCUGCAGAGACAAGUCCAUGCACCAUGCCUCCUCCCUAUGAUCCUCCAUCUCUUCACGCCAUUUUUAGGAGAAAAGAAAAUACAGUAAAACAAGUGGAGUUAUGGGAGAAGAAGUACUGGGACAAUAAAAAUAGUUGAGUAAUCCUACAUAGGAAUAUAUAUAUGUAGUGCCUUCCUUUAUAUGAUUAUUUAAUUAUUAUUA
rnacentral:misc_RNA from 1 species